GGGGGUAUAGCUCAGUUGGGAGAGCACCUGCCUUGCAAGCAGGGGGUCAAGGGUUCGAAUCCCUUUAUCUCCA
rfam:[Eubacterium] eligens ATCC 27750 chromosome, complete genome.